CCUACGGGAGGCAGCAGUGGGGAAUUUUGGACAAUGGGCGCAAGCCUGAUCCAGCAAUGCCGCGUGAGUGAAGAAGGCCUUCGGGUUGUAAAGCUCUUUUGUCAGGGAAGAAACGGUGAGGGCUAAUAUCCUUCACUAAUGACGGUACCUGAAGAAUAAGCACCGGCUAACUACGUGCCAGCAGCCGCGGUAAUACGUAGGGUGCAAGCGUUAAUCGGAAUUACUGGGCGUAAAGCGUGCGCAGGCGGUUUUGAAGUUUGUCGUGAAAUCCCCGGGCUCAACCUGGGAAUGGCGAUGAAGACUGCAAGGCUAGAAUCUGGCAGAGGGGGGUUAGAAUUCCACGUGUAGCAGUGAAAUGCGUAGAGAUGUGGAGGAACACCGAUGGCGAAGGCAGCCCCCUGGGUCAAGAUUGACGCUCAUGCACGAAAGCGUGGGGAGCAAACGAGGAUAGACUACCCUGGUACGUCCACGACCCUAAACGAUGUACUACUAGUUGUUACGGGUUUUAAUUAACGUUGGUAACGCAGCUAACGCGUGAAGUACGACCGCGUGGGGAGGUACGGUCGCGAGAAGUUAAACGUUAAAGUUAGUUAAGUAGUUAGGNGUGNGAGNGCGACGGACGACGACGAGGGAGGAGG
rnacentral:rRNA from 1 species